rnacentral:rRNA from 1 species
AUUGAACGCUGGCGGCAGGCCUAACACAUGCAAGUCGAACGGUAACAGGAAGCAGCUUGCUGCUUUGCUGACGAGUGGCGGACGGGUGAGUAAUGUCUGGGAAACUGCCCGAUGGAGGGGGAUAACUACUGGAAACGGUAGCUAAUACCGCAUAACGUCGCAAGACCAAAGAGGGGGACCUUAGGGCCUCUUGCCAUCGGAUGUGCCCAGAUGGGAUUAGCUAGUAGGUGGGGUAACGGCUCACCUAGGCGACGAUCCCUAGCUGGUCUGAGAGGAUGACCAGCCACACUGGAACUGAGACACGGGCCAGACUCCUACGGGAGGCAGCAGUGGGGAAUAUUGCACAAUGGGCGCAAGCCUGAUGCAGCCAUGCCGCGUGUAUGAAGAAGGCCUUCGGGUUGUAAAGUACUUUCAGCGGGGAGGAAGGGAGUAAAGUUAAUACCUUUGCUCAUUGACGUUACCCGCAGAAGAAGCACCGGCUAACUCCGU